AAAAAGUUUCCCUUUUGUUACCUGCCAGGAUCAGGGUUCAGGGUUGUGUCUUUGCCCUGCUACAGCUGAAGACAUACAGGCAGCUUUGAGCUCUGCUUCAGGUAUUUGCAAUCUUACCAGCUGUCACAGCGGAAACAGGGAAUCCUGAACUCAGAAUCUGCCUGGGAGUGAUGUAUCCUGCCCAUGGAGAUUCAACAGGGGAUGAGUCCUGGAUGUCUGGCAAAAGAAGAGAGAGCACUUUUUAACCUUACUGGAGUACAA